ensembl:lncRNA
CCAAGAUGGUCAGCGUCCGGUCGAUCCAGCCUCGAAUUCAAACAAGUGAUCAUCAUUCAAAAUCCUACAUCUCCCAUAAUUGCUCUUCUUUCUUGAGCUAGUAAGCUUCAUCCAGCCAAGUCAUAUUCUAAGCCAUCCAAACAAUAAUGGAUGCUUCCAAACAUCAUAGGAAGCAUCCACAAAGACUGCCUGCAUCCAUCAAUUUGUCUCCUGAUAUCACAAAUAAGUAAAUAGAACAACACAAAUUGUAAGUUGAGGUUUGUGCAUCAAAUCUCAAUAUCUACUGUCCACUACUCUCAAAAGAUUUCUGCAAUAUGCUACACUUCAAACUUCCCUCUCCAUUAUAUGAUUCUCCGCUCCAGAUCUGUUUUUAUAAAACGGCACAAAACCGAUAAGAAGGUUUGUGCAUCAAAACCCAAUAUCUACUGUCCAAUCUACUCUCAAAACAUUUCUGCAAUAUGCUACAUGUGAAACUUCCUUGUCCGAUAUUUCAUUCUCUAUGCCAUGAACUGUUUUUAUGAAGAGGCACAUAACCGAUAAAAAGGUUUGUGCAUCAAAACCCAAUAUCUACAGUCCACAACUAUCAAAAGAUUUCUGCAAUACGCUACACUUCAAACUUCCCUCUCCAUUAUAUGAUUCUAAGCUUCAUGAUCUGUUUCUAUGAAGCGGCACAAAACCGAUAAAAAGGUUUGUGCAUCAAAUCUCAACAACUACUGUCCACUACUCUAAGAUUUCUGCAAAACGCUACACUUCAAACUUCCUUCUCCAUUAUAUGAUUCUCCACUCCAUGAACUUUCUAUGAAGCAGCACAAAACCGAUUAAAAAGGUUUGUGCAUCAAAACUCAAUAUCUACUGUCCACUACUCCCAAAAGGUUUCUGCAAUGCGCUACACUUCAAACUUCCUUCUCCAUUAUGAUUCUCCAGUCCAUGAACUGUUUUUAUGAAGCACACAACCGAUAAAAAUAAAAGUGAAUACAAAACCAUUGUUCAAAUAUCUUCAGAAAAUGUCCCAGCAAAACUCUAAACUGAUGCAGGCAUUCAAUAGUCAAAGUUAUUAAACAAAUGAAUAACCGCAAAAGUAACACAAUUAUAUAUUAAAUAUUGGAUGGAUGGCUUGUAUUAUAUUAAAGGCUAUGUACAGCAAAUUUAGAUGCCAGCCAAAGGAGGAUGGCUUGCCCCUGCUGAGUCUGGUUCCUCCCAAGGUUUCUCCCUAUACCUCUCUGCUGAUGAUGCUUCUCUUCACUAAUUUAGGGAGUUUUUCCUUGCCACUGUUGCCUUCUGGCUUGCUCACUGGGGUAUUAAGGCACAAUAUUUUCAAUGUAUACUGUGUAAAGUGUUUGUAAAGAAUAAUAAAUACAUGAUGAUUUAGAAUAUA